rnacentral:rRNA from 1 species
UACGUAGGGGGCAAGCGUUGUCCGGAUUUAUUGGGCGUAAAGAGCGUGUAGGCGGCCAAGCAGGUCAGCUGUGAAAACUCGAGGCUCAACCUCGAGACGUCGGUUGAAACCGCAUGGCUAGAGUCCGGAAGAGGAGAGUGGAAUUCCUGGUGUAGCGGUGAAAUGCGCAGAUAUCAGGAAGAACACCCGUGGCUAAGGCGGCUCUCUAGUACGGUACUGACGCUGAGACGCGAAAGCGUGGGGAGCGAACAGG